UCUGGUGACCUUAGAAGCUUGGCCCCACCCGUUCCCAUUCCGAACACGGAAGUGAAACGAGCGUUCGCCGAUGGUAGUGCAUCUAGAGGUUGUGCGAGAGUAGGUCGUUGCCAGUA
rnacentral:rRNA from 1 species